UUUAAUUUUUACUGAUUCCCCGAUUUUUGGUGUGGUAAAUCUCUGGUUACAGUUUAAAUUCAACCCCGAAAGUGCAAAGACUUACAUAUCACGCGGAGUAAAUAAGAAAAUAUUGUGUAAGAAAAAUAAGAAGUUUUUUUUAUUAGGAAGGAAACGCUGAGCCAGAGAAAUUAAAAUAACUUUUUAUUAUGCUCGAAUUUGGGCCAUUUAGGCGAGCAUUUUAUAGUAUUAAAAGGUGUACGUCAAGGUUCUCAAAACAAUUAAAAGAGACACAUUCACUUGCACAACAACCGGAAGCAAUUUUGGAAUAUGCCGCAAAAUGGAGGGAAUCAAUUUGAAUUCCUAUCGAAAAAGACAACUUAUUGGACUUCAAAAAAAGACACAUCCUUCUUCAACUAUUCAAAGUCCAACCACGAGCGUCAACAUGACUAAAGAUCUCCAAGAAGUGGAUGAACGAUGAAAUAGAGGAAAAUUCCAUAGAUGUCAUCCUAAUGUGCCUAAUGGAUGGGUUCUGUUCCAAACAAUAACGGACACGAUUAAGUUCACCAUAUACAUAUCGUCGGCGUAAAGCAAAAUUGUUCUAUGUCCUUAAGAAAUCCUAUGUACUUAAAACAAUUUUGCUUUACACCGACGAUAUAUUAUUCAAAAUGUUCAAUUAAUUUAAUUUUUUUAUUCGAUGUAUUUAAUUUAGAAU